rnacentral:lncRNA from 1 species
UGGGAGCAAAGGUAGGGAGGGAUGCUGACUCGGGGAGCCGGGGUAAUCUCUGUUUUCUUCUGGGCUUGUGCCCUGCAGUGCUGCACCACUUUCCUGCUUGCAUUGGUUUCUGCAUCAAUUAAAUGCUUUUAUGCAAGAAACGCAAUGGGGAAAAUAGUGAUUUAUUUUGAUCAGUAUGAAGACGCAGGACCUUUCUUUUGCUGGAAAUGGUGUCAAUCUACCAGUAACACAAUGCAAUUUACCCACCUUGGCUCAUUCCAUUUUCUCUUUUAAAAUUUCCUCAGGCUCUAAUUUCACUUGAGGAUUUUUCUAAACAACAAAUCAUAUAUAAAGGCUAAAAACUUGACAGUAAAAGAUGAAAUACUAACUGACAGGUCUGUAAUUCUGGCCAAAACAUCAUUGCAGCCGCAGUAGUCACAGAAGGAGCUAUGGACAAGGUGCCAUAAACCUCUACGGCCAACACUGGAAUCGACCCUGCUCCCACUGGAGUCCAGGGGAAUUUUGCCCUUUGUUUCAGCAAAGGAUCCCAGGCAGCCCGAAUCUCUUCUUUUUGCAUGUGAUGCAUUUCUGAAAUAUGAACAGUCCCCUUUCCUAACCACAGCAUUUGAAUCUGUGGUUCUACAGUUACUGAACAGACAAAAAAUGAUGUAUGGGCAGCUGGCGGGGCAGGGAGGAACAGGGCUGUUUCUCUGUCCACCAGGAGAUGGCAUGGACCCUGAGGAGUGUGGUGCCUUUGGCACUUGGAAGUGACAGGUGCAGAUGGGGCUGUUCCAUGAAUUGCAAAUAUCCAGAGGUUCAAAUGCCACAGCUGAAAAGCACAUGUUCUGCCAUUUGGCCAGCACGAUCCACCCGUGCGAGCUAAUUUAAGGUUGCUAAACAGAUGACACAGAACAUACAUCUUUUAUAUUUGAUCUCUGCACUGAUUAUUUUCUCCCCUGCCUCCUCACUUACUUUUUGGAGAGCUCCACACAGAAGAACCACAACACGGCGAGUGGCAGCACAGCAGCAAAGCACAGCAUCACGUUUUUCCCAGUGGAGUGACAGGCUGAGCCCCAACGGAGCAAGCUGCUGGGCAUGGGGACUGGCAGCCUGCAUCCUGGAGCAGCAUCACCUGGGAUUUCUUCAAAGGAAAGCAGUCUGCCUCCUAACACAGUCAGCUACAUCUACACCUCAGCCAUAGUGACUUUGGGAUCUGUGGCUGCAGCGUGGGGACUGUAGCAAAGAAAUUGCAGGCACAGGGAAGUCUCCGAGUGUCUGACAUGAUCACUGGCCUGUGGCACCUGCAACAGCAGAGAAAAAUUGUUGAAAUGUCGUGUAGUUCCUGACACCAAAGUGUGUCUGUGCUCUGGGGAAUGCCAAUAGGAAUUUAGAGAGGGGAUCAAAGUGGGUGUUUGGCCAGAGGCACGAAAGGAGAGUUGUGUAAAUGAUAAUAAUAACUUCCAUGGGGAUUUGUGAACCUGUCCACCCAGCUCUCAAACUCACUGAAAUCAGUACUUUCACAGCUCUUUGUCACUUCUGGAGUCCAACUCUUUGAGCUGUUCUGACCCAUUUUGUCAGACAGCAAAAAACCCCAACCAACCAAAAAAAAAACCCACCAAGCCCACUAUUUUGAGUAGUUUGUCAGCACUUUGUAUAAGCAUUACUGAUAAGGGGUUCAGCAGUUGCUAGCUUCUCAAUCCUUUUAUGAAAUAUGUUUUUAUUGCACUUGAAAUAAAGAGGAGUUGGUAUACA